rnacentral:sRNA from 1 species
GCUGGGUGCAGUGGCUCACGCCUGUAAUCCCAGCGGCUCAGGAGGCUGAGGCAGGAGGAUCACGAGUUCAAAGCCAGCCUCAGCAAUGGCGAGGCGCUAAGCAACUCAGUGAGACCCUGUCUCUA